AUGUUAAUGUGGCUCUCGCUACCUGGCUGUCUCGCUCUCUUCUUUCUCUCUCUCGCAACAAUAACUCAUCUCUUCAGAGACCUCUCAUUGGGCCACUCCAAGAGAGACUCCACGCCGCCGCUGAUAAUGCCUCCCAAGCUCGCUGCCGUCACCGCCGCCGACGACCUUCCCUCUUCGCUCGGCCAGCUCGCCGCCUCUCUCUCCGAUUCUGACUUUGCACUAACCGCCUACGAGAUCUUCCUCGCCGCGUGCCGCACCUCCUCCGGCAAGCCUCUCAGUUUCGCUGCCAACCACUCCUCCACUAUCGCCAGCAAGGUCAAGAAGGCCUUUGGCCUUAAAUCGCCAGGUUUGGCCUCCAGAAAGAGCCCUGGCUCUGCUUCGGGCCAAGGAAAGCCGAAACGGCCUCUCAUCGUCGGCGAGCUGAUGCGCAACCAGAUGAAGGUUUCCGAAGCCAUGGAUUCGCACGUGCGACGCGUGCUGCUCAGGAUUUCCGCUGGCCAGGGAAUACCAUCUGUUAGUAAAACACUGGAGGAUUCUGAUUAAUGGGUUACUGCACUCUGUAAGAAUCUGACUACUUGGUGGCCAUGGGUAAGUCACACUGAGAUAUUGCUUUCGAGUUUGCCUUUUGUUUUUUCUCCCCAUUGCUGAUUGAAUUACUUUCACUUGCUUGUUGGAUCUGUGCUAUAGUUUGCCUAGGGGGAGAUUCCACUUGUACCAUCUAAAGGGUACUGAGAUUAUUGUUGUAAAAAGUUGCUUUUGCUCUUUGGAUUUACAUGUUUUAUUUGGUUGUUAUUGGAGAUGAUUAGUUAAUUGUUUUUCAACUUUUCUGUUUCAGAUUAUAUUUUCACCUCUACAAAUGCAUGAUAUAUCAUAUAUAUAAUAAGUAGUAGUCUGGAGAUUGCUGAAUUUUUGUUCUGCUUGUUUUCGUGGAAAUUUUGCUUUACUUUUUACUCUUGGGGUGUGGCAACAGCCUUUUCAGAGCAUUGGUUGCUGGCUUUGUUAAGACUGACAAGGAAUUUCUGAGCAGAGUCAUGUGAUGACUGAUGACGUGACCAGCUUGUGGAAUAUCUUAUUAAAAACAGCAUGUUGGAUAUUUUUCUAUGCAAUUGGACGAAUUUCUUUCAAAACAGUGCAGAACUCUGAAAGUGUUACUUCAUGCUCAAAAUAAGUGCCAGGUUUCACAGCCAAGAUGAACUUGAGUGAUGACGUAGAUCUGGAGGAUUAUGUUUCUCGCCCUGACAAAAUCAGUGUGCUGAUUUUUGUGCCCAAUAAUUUUCUUGUCCUAUAUAUCUCAUUCUAUUUAUUUGUACUUUUUUUUUACUAAGAAUCCAAAAAAAUACUUCUUAUUGUUUAUAUAACAUGCUUACAUACUCAAAAAUACUUUUCUCCUCAAUUUUACAAUUGUAUUUGCGGUUCCUAUUAGUUUUUUCUUAGGAAAAAAAAUUAUUACUAACUAUUUUUUUUACAGAAAUACUGAUUAUUGUUUAUAUAAAAAAAAUAUUAACUUCCACAAAAAUAAAUAACAAAUAUAUCUUUACAAAAAAAAUCAUAUCAGUGGUAUCGGAGCUAAGGUUUCUGAGGCUUGUUGAUCAGUGAAAAGAAAAAAGAUCAAAAGAAAGAAAGCAAGAGAGCAAUUAAGGAUUGUUUGAGUAAAUCUAGACAAUAGAUAGAUGACAACCCAAACAUGUACAGUUCAGGAUUGUUUGAGUAAAUCCUGAUAAAUCUUUGGCAUACUUGCCCUUCCUUUCUUUCUUUACUUCGACUAUUUGUUGAAGUUCAUAUUAUUUUAAAUGUAAAAGCUAUUUUAAUGCAUAAACAACUUCAGCAGAAAAGAUCCAUGCUACAUUGUAAACAAUUGGUUUCAAGCAGAUUUAAAUAAGUUGGCAGCACGUAUCUUUCAUUUCAUGGGUUGUUUACACAUUUUUUGUGAGCACUAAAGAGGAUGAAAUACUCAAGGAAAUUGGAAACUUGCAUUAAUUUCUGUAUUACAUUGUUGUGAAAGUGCAUUCAAAGUCUGCGCAAUGGCACGGUCCAAUUAACUAGCUUCUACCAACUUCUUAGCCACCCUUAGUCCAAACAUUGUGUAAAUUUAAGGGUUUUUGAUGUCAAGGAUACAACUUAAAGUAAUUUUUUUCAUUAAAUAAAAAACAUAUUAUGUUAAAAAUAUAAAAGCUAGUAUUUCUCUUUUUAAUUUACGAUUUUUUUGUUUCUAUAUUCCUAUUAUCAGCCUUAAAAUCUAAUAAGAUAUGUGUAGUUACUACUAUUGAUCUUGAUUAAUAGUUUGUCUCUUUAUAAUACUUCAAGUUAUUGAUGUUGAACUCUCAAUCACAAUCAAGCUUAGAACAUGGGCAUAAUUGACAUUUUUAUGCAAGACUCUAUUACAUCUUUAAAAUAUUAAUUUAUUAUUCACUGAUAAUUUACUAUUUAGUCAUAGCCUUGCGACUUGAAACUUAUGGUAAAGUAUUGAUAACAUAUAUUUUGUGUUUGCAGGAUACGAGUUUCAUAUCCAUUUCAAUGGGGAGCACCUACAUUUGAUGCAGGUGAAGCCUUUGUUAUGAUGAUGACAUCCUUUGUUGCUCUUGUAGAGGUUCUCUGAAAGGCAAGAGUAUGUGACAGUGUUACUAUGUAGCACUAGUGGGUGUGACAAAUCUACAAUGUCUGCAUUGCUUGUAAUUUUGCUUGUAACUUGAAAAAGAAAAAUAAUUGUUUGUUUUUCAAAUGCCAAAAAUCUAGUUUUUACUUAUUUUGUGGUAAGAUAUAUAUGUAAGUUGAAAAUGAGUAGUAUUUAUACCAUACAGUUUGAUAACUAUCA